AAGAAUAAAAAUUGCUGGGAAUCAUUUCUUAUAUGUCAAGCACGCCAGAACUUCAGAUUCCAGUUGAUGAAUAUGGGGCUCACACCAAAGAGAUCAUCGAUACUGAGCUCAAAUCCGAUCCACUGGAAUACUUUGGGUGGUCAAAAUUUGAAAAGAACGCUGGAAUGCCUGUGUUUGUUUGUUAUUUCAUGGAUAGAAAAGAAUAUUUUCUCUAGGUGGUUGGUUGUAAUAGAAAAGUAAAUAUGGUGAGAUGGCAUGUGUGUGUGUGUUAGAGAGAGAGAGAGAGAGAGAUCAGUGAAUGGGCGAUAUUGCCAAUGCCCGAGGCUGCAGCAUUGGUUGAUACCAGAUCGGUGGUAAAAAAAUAUGGAGGUAAAAAUGGUUUUACAAAAAACUAUCAAAAUCUUGUGGGGAAAAAUUUUCUGAUAUGUAUCGGUAUCAAUUUUGCCUUGGCAUCUAAUAUUGUUUUAUUGCGCCUUUGGCACUACCUCAGCAAAUGUGUCCAAGAUGGUGGCAUGGAAUGGCCUUUUGCCAAAGCUCACAGUUGGCAAAGCUGGGACUCUGUUGUGGCCAACCCUUAGUUCAACCAUUUCUUCAAUGAGGUCAUGGUUUGUGCUUCCAAAAUUGUUCUCAAGGCUUUGUUCUCGGUUGUCAGAAACUGCAAAACUUCUCAACUCAAGGUGCAGAAAUACAUGCUGCCACACUUAAUGACAAUAUGGGCUCCAGAGUUGACUAUGAUACUCCUGGACAAAACUUGGGAAUACUAUAUAUAUAUAUAUAUAUAUUUUUUUUUUUUUAAUUUGGAUAUAAAUCAUGUAUAGAUGCAUUCUGUGAUCCAUAUGGGGUAGUAGACAGUUGAGAGAUUUUUUUUCCAGGUUCUUCACUUUUGGAAAGAGUAAAGACAGUGAUUCUUAACCUGGAUGACCAGAAUGAAAGUGAAAGAGUAAGAAUUUAGAAGGGAAAAAAAGUCAAAUGGUGUUGUUCAGUUUGACAAAACACAAAAUCUCUUUUUAGCUGUUGGUGAGGAUCAUCAGAUAAAGUUUCGGGAUGUGGACAAUGUCGACAUUCACAAGCACAUAUGAUGAGGUUGGACUCCUGGUAGGUAUUGUUUUAAUUUGAAUUUUUUGGUCCGCUUGUAUAGGACCUCAUUCAAAUUGGAUCCACACUCAUUGCUUUGAUUGCUUCCUCAUCUGAGAUUCAAGGAGGAAGAAAAUUCUUCUUGUUACCACAAAAGAUAAUGGUUUCGUGAUACUUGGAAGUGCUGAUAGUCUCGGAUGCUUGAGAUUGGAAACCAGUCCUUAGAAGCACUGAGAGCACCAAUUAAUAACCUGCCUCAGGUUAGGGUGUGAUCAUCCUUGUUAUCAUCCUCAUCAUGAACAUCAGCUUUCUUUGUGAUGUGUUCUUGACUACCCUCUUCUCUUAUGUUUCUAGCUUCUCUGUUGCUUCUUAAGCUAGCCUUGAUUUUUGUUUUUUGUUUUGUCCUUUUUUUUUUUGAAACAAUUAGAAUAAUUUGUGAAGAAUGGGGCUGAUCCUACUGCUAGAAGCAUAGAUUAAGUAAAGGUCUUUGGAUAAUGUAACUGAUAAAACUAAACCAUAAGAGUUGACUGAGAAUGCAAAUCAUGCAUGCAAGUUGUGCCAUUUUUAAUUCAUUUUUCAUCAUUUUCCAUCUAUCACAUGCAUCAACUUUCUAAUUGAUAAAUUGUCCCAUUAUAUCCAGGUUGCACAUCUUCAGACAAUUCUGGUUUGGCAUUUUAUCUCUUGGGUCAAAUGGGAUUAAAAAACUAUGGAAGUGGGGCCGCAGAGAACUUAAGUGGCAGGGUAAUGGUUUAAACUAUAUCUUCUUUAUGCUUUCUCCACUGGUUUAGAUUUUUCCACCAACCUUUAACAUACAGUUUCCUACUACUUAUAGACCACCUGCUAAUGUGUCUAACUGUGUAUCCAGCCAUGUGCAUUGUCAAGCUGACCAGUCGUUAACAAGUAAACACUAUGUUGUUCUUUUUCAUGGGAUAGAUUCUGUUCCCUUCUAAUUUUCUCCAAUUGCCAAAUAAGUUAAAUUGCAGAUGUGAUGGGUUUUAUUAUUGAGUUGUUCCAAGCAUCUAUGGGAAUGCUUGACUAUAUUUUGUUUCCCGUGUGGUGAUUCUUGGCUAAGUUACUUUAUUGUCCUGACUUAUUAAAUGAGUUAUCGUCUAUAUUUGAUGUGAAGUAAUUUGCAUAGUCAAGUUUAUAUUAGGAAAAACCCAACUACUGUAAGCCUGCCUCCCACACCCCUCCCUUAUUUUUUUUAUUUAUUUAUUUAUUUUUUGGGGGGGGGGGGGUUGUCUAUUGCAUGCCUAGCUACUUGCACAUAACACAUUUAUACUUGAUUGCAGAAUUCCCUUAGAUAUGAUAUAUGAUAUAUUUUGAUGAAGUUGAAACACUCAUAGGACAUUCUACCACUAAAAAAUUCCAAAUUCUGAUAUAACUGCUGCUACACUAAAAAUUUGAUUCAUCUUUUCAAAUGAUUACUUUGUUCACAGCUUUAUUUUCAGUUUGGCUUCCCUUUGAGUUGAUAGUUGGCUACAACUCUUUACUUUAGGAGUCACUUCGUCAAUGACCCAAAAGAUCAGUGAUCCAGCCUUGGUAUAUCUGCCAUUGAUGUCAGAAAAAAGAGAGUUAUUUACUCAUUUUGAAUUUGUUACGUUACAUGCACAUAGUAAUUGGUUAAGGAUUGAAUUCUCCCAAUGAUUAUAUUGGUGUCGUCUACUUUGAUGUUUUCAUUAGUUAUUUGGAUUCCCCUAUUUGAUGUAUUAUCUUAACUUCUCACCCUGUGUAGGGAAUUAAACCAUCAAUAAAAUAAUUAGCAUUGAAAAAAUAAGGAAUGGGUAUGUAAUGUUAGAUCUUUUAGUGUUGGAUUUCGACUGGAAUAAUGCCUUUGAUCGUCUUCCAUUUUCCUGAUUCAAAACUUUCCCUGACGGACAAGAGUUUUAUAGUGAUCUUCAAGAAAAAUUACAUAUACAAUGGUUAAUGUUUUGAGUUUUUCUUAAAACUAUUGCUAAGAGAAGUAAAACAUGCAUGACACAAAAGAUAAACCAUUGUGUACAUGCUUUGUAAGUCGGAUUCAAAUUUAUUUUGAUGGGUUUUUCUUUCUCUUUUUCACUUCUUAUUGAGAAUCUCUUAAUGUUUGUUUCAGAUUAAGGCAACAAUCAUAUAUGUUCCUUGUGUCUAGUAUCUGUCAUGUGUGAUAUGGGUAAGGGUUUUUUCUUUCUCUUUUUCAUUUCUUAUUGAGAAUCUCUUAAUGUUUGUUUCAGAUUAAGGCAACAAUCGUAUAUGUUGCUUGUGUCUACUAUAGUGCUUAUUGUGACUUUGUAUUUGUCAUGUGUUCCAUAUGGGUUUUUCACUUUCAACAUGGGCAGAAUUUGAACUUGGAAGUGCUCCUGUCUUGUGGAAAGCCAUGAGUGGUCUUUCUGUUCUACUUGUAUAUUUAAUGUAACACAUGGCUGCAUCAGUGGAAAAUUUUACUAAACCUGAUAUGACUGUUAUGCCUGGGAAUUCACUCCCUCAACCCAAAUGAGGGCAUGAUGGUAAUUCUGGAAUUUCUGGCAGUGAAAAAAGGUGGCCUGGGUGGCCUGGGGGAGAGUGUAUUCUGGUUACUGGUUCCGGCGCAAAAAAUUGGGGGUAUUAUUGGUUGUAAAGGAGAGUUCCUUAAAAGAAUGUGUGAGGAGACAAGAGCUUGCAUUAAGAUUCUUGAUGGUCCUCUAGGCACUUCAGAAAGGACUGACAUCACAUGGUUGCUGGCAACUCUUAGUCUAUUGGAUAUCUGAUGCAUGUACCCCUGUGGACCAUGAGGCAUCCUUUGUAAUUUGUUUUGUCCAUGAACCUAAGGCAACAAAUGAAUCACCAAAGUGACUACAUGUUAGAAGAAACAUAAGUCAAGAUUGCUUGGAUCAGAUUAAGGAUUAAGCAUUCCAUGUGCUAAAUGGUAGAUCUGAUUAAGCACUCAGAGAUACCUUUUACAGAUGUCUAUACCAAGAAGCUCGACAUUUUAUCUGGUAACUUCAAAACUUGGUUGACUGAUUGCCACAUAUGGUUAAACUCUUAGAAUGUUGGAUUCAAAUUUGUGAAACCUUGUAAAGCUUUAUGUAUUGAAGGAAGUUCGGUGAAGGGGAGGCCAUCCUUUGUUGUAUUUACAUAAUAUUGGUGGUUAGUUUACAUGCUCUGCAGUUUCAUAUGGAGGUAAUGUUCUGGUUUUAAAAACUGUUGUUUAAUGAUUUUAUGUUGGAAAUAUUGCUAUCAAUCUAUGUACUCAUGUUACAUAAACAUAGACAACAUAGUAUCAUUCUACCCAUAAACAUGUUACGAACUACGAUUUUGCCUUACUGCAGUUUCGUCUUAAGAAGAAUUGAAAUGCCUAAAUAGAACCUAAAACAUAAGAAUGUAUGAGCUGAAAUGUGGGGUUUUGUUACAUAGUGGUUGGAACAAAAUGUCCAAGCGGAGCAGUAGGUGGGCACUCGGUAGAGCCCUCAUAAGUCAUACCUUUUUUAAGAAGGUUCUAUUAGCCGAGUGGGAAGAGCAGGAGGAAAGUUAGGCACAAACUCCCCUCAGUAGUAAGUGAAGGCAGUUGGUAGCCAAUCAAAGGUCACAAAAGACAAACCAGUUAGAAUCAUAGAGCUUCAGUUCAACAUCAAAAUAGACUGCAAUCAUAGGGAUACAGUGGGCCAACUGCAAUCUAUAGAAAAAGUCUCAAGCAAGGAAUGUUUGCUACUUCAGUUGCAGGUUGGAGUGAAAAACAAACUUUUCCCCACUUGUUCAAAUAUGCUCGGAUGGACUACUUCUAAAAGAAAAAGUUUCAAUAAAAUAAAUCCGGGUUACAAAAUUUAUGUUACACUUACACAUACCAAAACUUUUUUUCAUUCAAGAAUCUAUUUUGUCUACUAGCAACCAAAUGAUUUCGAUUUCUGGUUAAUUAGUUAAAGAGAGCCUUAGUCGCCAUGUGAGGGUGUUAGUUCGUCAUUUGAGUGUCGAGACUGGGAAGAAAGAAGCAUUGAAUUGUUUUGAUGUCAUUAUCAUCUUGUAGUAAUAACCUAUACUCAAUUUAUCUCUCUAUGCAUUUGAGUUUUUAUCUUCUCUUAUGGUCUACAGUGAAGAUGCAUUCUUAUAGUGCAGCUGCAGUAACUGGCGCUGUUCAUCAGCUCAUUUGGAGUAAGUGUACUCUGCAUUUCCCCCUAAGGUCUCUGUUAGUGAUGGAGUCAUACUUGGUGAGAAUGUUUGACUCAAAUUUGUGAAUUUGUAAAGCUGCUUGCAUUAAAGCAAGCUUGGUGUGGCAACUCCAUUUCUCAAGUUCGAAUUUGCUUGAGAUCUGGCUCCACCUGAGCACGAGGAGGACAUCUAGAUCUAGUUGCCACGCUGCCAACUAUGGUUUAAAGUGUCUCCGAUACGAUACGAUAUGCUCCGAUACGUAUCUUAAAUUUACCCUAUUGAUACGGCUAAUACUUUAAUCCUUGAUUUUUAGCAUAUCUUGGCAUAUCUCUGAUACUAUACGAUAUCCUCCGAUGCUUCUCCUAUAUGGUGACUGAUACCGAUACAACACUCCCUUCUUACCUUUCAGUGGAACUGUAUCCCGGCAUUGGAGAGCAAGCAUCAACCUAGCUCAACAACUGCCUUCGUUCCGUAAACCCAGAUCCCUAGGUGAAGACAUGGGAGAAGGUUGUAUAACCCUGGAUGACUUAAAAAAAGGGGGGGGUUCUGUUCUUCACCCUAUCACAAUCGCAUCCAUGGCAGCAAAGAAAUUCAUCCCUUACCCUCUGUUUGUCCUUUGCUAAGCCUUCUUCUCUUUUGUUUUCUCUCAUAUUUUAUCCUCUAUUCCCCCAUCUGUAAAACCCCAAAUUCCUCUGGUUUUCUAAGGCGGUUUACAAAGUGGUUUGAAAUAUGAUUUACAAAGCCAAUACUUAAAAUGGUUUACAAGGCCAUCUUUCCAAGGUGAUUUUCCAAGCUGGUUUUCUAUGCUGGUUUACAAAGUGUGAUCUGCGAAGGUGGUUUGUGAGGCUGGUCAGAUUGCUGAAGGCCUGGAUACCCAUCGUUAGCAAAAAAAACACCUUUAUAGGUGUAUGUAUGCAUUUGGAAUUUGACACCUUAAGGUCUGGAUACCCGUCAAUAAGAAAAUUCCUUUAUAAAAAGAAAUGGAAAUAUGAUCUGAUUAUAUUUUUAGGGAGCUUCCAUGUUGCCAAUGUUGGGGGGUUCAUACACUACACCAAUGGUGGCACGGGGAACAACAUCAUCCAGAUGGGUCCUACAUGGUUCGGGAGGAGAGAGAAAAUAAUAAAAAAAAUAAAAAACUCAUGUGAUAGAAUUUGACAUUGACAAUGGGGGAAAAAUUGUCCUAAAUUUUAUUAUUCUUUAUUUUCCAUUUAUUUAUUUUGAAUUGACCAAAUAUUGCUUUUUUUUUUUUUUUCCCAUCAUGUAAUAUGAUAUUGCACAUUUCUUAAUGGUUUGGACAGCUUUCUAUCGUCAGAUUAGAACCUAUUGCCUUAAGAUAUAAUAAAUAAAAAGAUAAAAGUGUCUUAAGUUGGAUGGUCUCAUGUUGAAUUUAAUUUGAAUUACUUUUUCAUUUUUUACUUGCAACUAGAUGGUAAAGUAAUUCGAUCCCAAUUCGAUCCCACCAACAGUUGAACUCAUUAUUUAUAAUUCUGGUAGACUAAGUAAUUUUUUUUUUUUCGCGUCUUCAGCUAUAUUUGAUGAAACUUAUGUUCUACAGGAGUGUUUCUGGGUUGUAAAUGUGUCUUGCUCCUCCUUGCAGGCCUCUCCUCUUCUAGGGAAGCACUUUUGUAGUAGUAGAAUGUGUUUGUUAACAUGAAAGUGAUUUUGUACUUUUGCAGGAGUGAAGUGCAUUUGUUAACAUGAAAGUGUUUUUGUACUUUUCAAUCCUGUGGAACCUCUAUCUCCAUCUCCAUCUGAGAGGUAGAAAUUGUGAAACCAUGUCAUGUUUCAUCCACAUCUUCUCCAGCAGCACCGGUGUUGCCAAACAUGCUUUCACUCUUGAAGUGUUUUUAAAAAACAACAACAACAACAACAAAUGAAGAACUAAAAUAAGUAGAAGGAGAGUGUUUUGCUCUGUUGCCCUGCUGAAAGUACCUUUCAGGAAGCAGAAACAAAUGAUGAGGAAGAAGAGAAAAGAAAAAAAUAAGGAAUUCUUCGAUGAGAUGCAUUGAAAGAAAACUAACAACAUAAAUGCCGAAAGAGGGAGAAGGAGAUUAUUUUUUUUUCUGUGUUUCAAUGGAAAGAACUAUGUAGGAGGAACAUGUAAGUCCCAAAUAGUCUCAAAGUCAUUUAAAAGAUAAAGAAGAAGAGAGAAUAUUUGCACCUACUAUUGGAGAACAGAAGUUGUGGAAGUGGGAAGAUGGGAAAAAGGGUAAAAAGGAGAUGCGUCAAAUGGUCUAAACCCUUGCGUGGAAUUACAAACCUUCCUCUGUACCUGCAGUCUCUCUAGAAAAUUUUCUCACAAACUCAA